GUGCUCCUUUUGGCAGCACAUACACUACAGUUGACAUGACACAGAGAUGAGCGUGGCCCCUGCUCCAGGGUGACACACAAGCUUGUGAAGCAUUAAGAAAAGCA
rnacentral:snRNA from 1 species